GCCAGGCAGGACUACUGACGCAGCCCCGGUCUGAACUAACUGCCAGCCAAGGCUCCUCAGCAGCCAGAGCUCCCAUCUGCCCAGGCAUCCGGGAGAGCACAGAGGAUGGAGGACAGUGCGCCAAUCCAGUUAGGAGGACAUUUCCGUGACCAAAUGAUGCCAUGAGGGCAUCCUGAAACCCUGGGGCAAUGGCCAGAACACCCCCAGGCAGGAGCUGGCCACAGUGGAAGCACCAGCCAGCCUGCUCAGUACACAGGUCAGUCAGUCAAGUCCUUGGCAGUUGACAACAUCCCCAUUCCAACCCUAAGUUAAGAAAAGUUUCUUGAGCAGCAUAAGAAUCACCGGGGACUCCUGCUAAACCUCUUGCCUGGACCCCAUCCCAGGGAGGAGCGUGGGAACCUCUCUCGUCUUUGUGCCUCUCUGAGGAAGACGACGAUUCCACCCCCAUUUCAGGACUCUGAAGGUCGGCAAGCACUCCUACAGGCUGGCCUUGAUUUCCAUACCUGACAGACCUUGCUUCUUCCCCACCCCGCAAGACCUAGUGUUUAUUUUAACUCUUGAUGGAACCUUUGAUCUGCAGCGCUGUGUAAUGACAGCUGGGAUUACAGAGUAAAAUAGCUUGAAGAUGAAAGAGUGUGAUUUUCCAUUUAAGGAGCAGUCUGCCUUUUCUGUUGACCAAGAGAUGGUUGAUACACAUCUGAAG